UACAGAGGUCUCAAGCGUUGUUCGGAUUCAUUGGGCGUAAAGGGUGCGUAGGUGGCGCGCUAAGUCAGGUGUGAAAUUUCGGAGCUUAACUCCGAAACUGCAUUUGAUACUGGCGUGCUUGAGGACUGGAGAGGAGACUGGAAUUCAUGGUGUAGCAGUGAAAUGCGUAGAGAUCAUGAGGAAGACCAGUGGCGAAGGCGGGUCUCUGGACAGUUCCUGACACUGAGGCACGAAGGCCAGGGGAGAAAACGGG
rnacentral:rRNA from 1 species